CCUGUCUAAAAACCGGUGGCUUCGCUCGCUUGUGCUCGUGCCUGCGCCAACAGUCCGCCGCGCUGCCGGUGCUCUCUCAUUCUCGUCCGCCAUGGAUGCUUCUACUAGUGCUACUAGUGAAAACUAGAGCAACGCCUGCCGGUCUCUGUUUCGCAGGAUCCUCCCGCCCUGCGUGCACAGAGUUGCUGUCUCUGGAGGGGGAAAAAGGGAUCUUCUGCUCACUUCUAUACCAAAUUUUCGGGGACAAGAUGAAGCUGGUUUUAUGGCAUCAGUUUUUUCUCUUCUUCGUGUUAGUUUCAACAUCACAGGGUAUGAGUUCAGAUGGCCUAGCUCUUCUUGCUCUGUCCAAAAGCCUCAUACUACCAAGUCCCAUAAGAACCAACUGGAGUGAUUCUGAUGCAACUCCCUGUACAUGGAGCGGUGUUGGUUGCAAUGGAAGGAACAGAGUCAUCUCUCUCGACCUAUCAUCGUCAGGUGUUUCGGGUUCUAUAGGACCUGCAAUAGGGCGUCUGAAAUACCUGCGGAUUCUCAUCUUAUCAGCUAACAACAUAUCUGGUUUGAUCCCUCUAGAAUUGGGAGACUGCAAUAUGCUUGAAGAACUGGAUUUGUCCCAAAACCUGUUUUCUGGCAAUAUACCAGCAUCAUUGGGCAACCUCAAGAAAUUGUCAUCACUGUCACUGUACCGCAACUCCUUCAAUGGAACAAUACCAGAGGAGUUGUUCAAGAACCAGUUUCUGGAGCAAGUGUACCUACAUGACAAUCAGCUCAGUGGUUCGGUGCCCUUAUCGGUUGGUGAAAUGACAAGCCUUAAGUCACUGUGGUUACAGGAAAAUAUGUUGUCUGGAGUUUUGCCCAGUUCAAUUGGAAACUGCACCAAGUUGGAGGAUCUGUAUCUACUCGAUAAUCAACUGAGUGGCAGUAUUCCUGAAACCUUGGGUAUGAUCAAAGGUCUCAAGGUUUUUGAUGCUACUACCAAUAGUUUCACAGGUGAGAUCUCUUUCAGUUUUGAGGACUGCAAGCUAGAAAUAUUCAUCUUGUCUUUCAAUAAUAUAAAAGGUGAAAUUCCAUCAUGGCUGGGGAACUGCAUGAGCUUGCAACAACUUGGAUUUGUCAAUAAUAGUUUGUAUGGCAAAAUUCCAAAUUCUCUUGGCUUAUUGAGCAACCUCACAUAUCUUUUACUUUCACAGAACUCCCUUUCUGGGCCGAUCCCACCUGAGAUUGGUAACUGUCAGUCGCUGCAGUGGCUAGAGUUAGAUGCAAACCAGCUGGAUGGCACUGUUCCUGAAGAAUUUGCAAAUUUACGGAGUUUGUCAAAGCUCUUUCUUUUUGAGAAUCGCCUCAUGGGAGACUUCCCUGAGAAUAUUUGGAGUAUCCAAACCCUCGAGAGUGUCCUACUUUAUAGCAACAGAUUCACAGGGAAGCUACCUUCAGUGUUAGCUGAGCUGAAGUUCCUAAAGAACAUCACACUGUUUGAUAAUUUCUUCACUGGAGUCAUACCACAGGAGCUAGGUGUUAAUAGCCCCUUGGUCCAGAUAGAUUUCACAAACAACAGUUUUGUUGGUAGUAUCCCACCAAACAUCUGUUCAAGAAAAGCAUUGAGAAUUUUGGACUUAGGGUUUAAUCAUCUCAACGGUAGCAUCCCAUCCAGUGUUGUGGACUGCCCAAGUUUGAAGCGAGUCAUUUUACAAAACAAUAACCUUAACGGGUCUAUUCCACAAUUUGUAAACUGUGCAAAUCUAAGUUAUAUGGACCUAAGCCACAAUUCCUUGAGUGGUAACAUUCCAGCAAGCUUCAGCAGAUGUGUAAACAUUACUGAGAUAAACUGGUCAGAGAACAAGCUUUUUGGAGCAAUACCACCUGAAAUUGGAAACUUAGUGAAUCUGAAAAGACUUGACCUCUCACACAACAUAUUGCAUGGUUCGAUCCCUGUGCAAAUUUCCAGUUGCUCCAAGUUGUACUCACUUGAUUUGAGUUUUAACUCAUUGAAUGGUUCGGCCCUCCGCACCGUAAGCAACUUGAAGUUUCUGACACAGCUACGAUUGCAAGAGAAUAGAUUCAGCGGAGGCUUGCCUGAUUCUCUCUCACAAUUGGAAAUGCUUAUUGAGCUGCAACUUGGUGGAAAUAUUCUUGGGGGUAGUAUCCCUUCGUCAUUAGGACAGCUGGUGAAACUGGGCACAGCCUUGAACCUUAGUAGCAAUGGCCUAAUGGGUGACAUUCCAACACAAUUGGGUAAUUUGGUGGAGUUGCAAAACUUAGAUUUUUCAUUUAAUAAUCUCACAGGAGGCCUUGCUACAUUGAGAAGUCUAGGCUUUUUGCAGGCCUUGAAUGUUUCUUACAACCAAUUUAGUGGACCAGUCCCAGAUAAUCUUCUGAAGUUUCUGAGUUCCACACCAUAUUCUUUUGAUGGAAACCCAGGCCUCUGUAUCUCCUGCAGCACCAGUGGCUCUUCUUGCAUGGGAGCUAAUGUUUUGAAACCUUGUGGUGGGUCGAAGAAAAGAGGAGUACAUGGCCAAUUGAAAAUUGUUCUCAUAGUUCUCGGUUCAUUAUUUGUGGGAGGAGUUCUUGUACUUGUACUGUGUUGCAUCCUUCUGAAAUCUCGAGAUUGGAAGAAAAAUAAAGUCAGUAACAUGUUUGAAGGUUCCUCAUCUAAAUUAAAUGAGGUUACAGAGGCCACUGAAAAUUUCGAUGACAAGUAUAUCAUCGGUACAGGUGCUCACGGAACUGUUUACAAGGCAACACUGAGGUCAGGGGAUGUUUAUGCUAUAAAGAAGCUUGCGAUUUCUGCACACAAAGGUUCAUACAAAAGCAUGGUUAGAGAACUGAAGACACUGGGUGAAAUUAAGCACAGAAACUUGAUAAAGCUGAAAGAAUUUUGGUUGAGAAGUGAUAAUGGAUUCAUACUGUAUGAUUUUAUGGAAAAGGGCAGCCUCCAUGAUAUUCUGCAUGUAAUUCAGCCAGCACCAGCUUUGGACUGGUGUGUGAGGUAUGACAUAGCUCUUGGCACCGCCCAUGGGUUAGCAUAUCUUCAUGAUGACUGCCGCCCUGCGAUCAUUCACCGUGAUAUUAAACCAAGAAAUAUACUGCUCGACAAGGACAUGGUGCCACAUAUUUCAGAUUUUGGCAUUGCAAAGCACAUGGACCAGUCUUCUACUACUGCUCCACAGACCACUGGAAUCGUUGGCACUAUUGGAUAUAUGGCCCCAGAAUUGGCGUUUUCCACCAAGAGCAGCAUGGAGUCUGACGUGUACAGCUACGGUGUGGUGCUACUGGAGCUGUUGACCAGGAGGACGGCGGUGGAUCCUUUGUUCCCCGACAGCGCGGACAUAGUCGGCUGGGUGUCGUCCGUGCUGGACGGCACCGACAAAAUCGAGGCCGUCUGUGACCCGGCCCUCAUGGAGGAAGUCUUCGGCACGGUGGAGAUGGAGGAGGUGCGUAAGGUCCUGUCGGUGGCGCUCCGGUGCGCGGCCAGGGAGGUGAGCCAAAGGCCCUCCAUGACUGCCGUCGUGAAGGAGCUGACGGAUGCGCGGCCAGCCUCUGCCAGCAGCGGCAGCCGGUCGUUGUCCAAGUCGAGGGAAGGGAAACCGGGAUUGCAAUCCAGCAGCAGCGCGUACUGGCAGUAGGAUUUCUGAAUUUUAUUCUGCGGAGCUGUUACGGCCUCCGGGACACCAACUUCCUCUCUUGUACCUCCUGAUUGGCCUUUUCUCAGGUAGCGGUCCUGUUAUAAUUCCGAAAGACGUUGUUAAUACUCCGAGCAAGAGGAGCAAGAGGCGUGAAGAUUCGGUAAAUGAGGACUCUCUUGAGAGGGCAAAAAGGUUAACAGCAAUCAGGAAUCUUGAUAGUACAGGUACUUUUCAGGGGCACAUACUGGAUGAGACAAUGGAUGCUGCUGCUAAAGGAAGAAGAAAAAUUACAAGUAAAGCAGGGAUACAGGCUGCUUGAAGUUGCAAUGAUGCAAAUCUUUGCUAAAAAUGGUUGGAACUUUAGUAAUCGAUUGUGCUUGUAAUCUGUAAUGUUGUGGUGGCAUCUAUGUUUCGAGUAUGGUUUUGUUCCUGUUUGAACCCAGUAUUUUUGAUGUAUUGGACAGCUAUAUGCCCAGUAUUUUUGAUGUAUUGGACAACUAUAUGCAUAUUGUCAUGCAGAGGCUGGAAUAAUCAAGUUAUUCCCUUUUC